GUCCAGUAUAAAAGGGUGCAGCAUUACGCGGAAACUGAGCAGAAGCCGCAGCAGCAGCAUCACUGAAGGAGGUUCAGAACCACAAUCCAUACUCUUGCAAUAAUGUCUGAGCUUGGCGUUGGAAUCAAUGGAUUUGGCCGCAUUGGCCGUCUGGUCCUCAGGGCCUGCCUGCAGAAGGGAAUUAAAGUCACCGCCAUCAACGACCCCUUCAUCGACCUGCAGUACAUGGUGAGAUUCACUGAAGCAGAAAUUAUGAUUCUU